rnacentral:sRNA from 1 species
AAACAAAAAUAACAAAAACAAAAUGUUUAAUUUCACUAGACGGGGUUAGAUGAUAGGACGGGUUUGGGUCGACAGUAAUACGAGACGGUAUAGCACGGGUGAAAUCCAUUAGAUAUGUUUAGUUUCACGGAACGGGAUUAGAUGGUAGGACGGGUUUGAGUCGAUAGUAAUAUGAAACGGUAUACCACGUGUGAAGUCGUAGAUAUAACAAUCAAAAUAUAAUUAUAUUAUCUUAAAUACUAAACAAAAC